GAUAUUUGACCCACAUAAACAUUCGUUUAAGGAGACGGGACACUAUUUUCCCUGCCUCCUGAUCCAACUCAUAUUCUUCAAAACAUCAAAUAAAGUAAUAUGCAGAAUUAUGUUGCCCCUGAGAGGGAUUUUCUCUUGUUUCCCUCCCACUCUGCUCAGUCUGUCUGUCUGUCUUUCCCUCCCAGCCUCCCCCUUACCCUCCCCUGAAAACUCUGGAAAAACAGUAGUAAGUAACAUUUGUGCCUUUGGCAAUAAAACCACAGGCCUCCCAAACCCCAAAUGGCAAAAAGACAUUUCCAUUCCAAUCCCAGUUUUAAAUUAAACUGUAAUGAAAAAUCAGCAGUGGCAGCUGGGACCAGAGACACUGAUUGUCUCUAGGAACAAAAAGGAGGGGAACAGAGGGGGAGAGGAAGAAGAAAAGAGACUGCAAGGAAGCAGCACUCUGGUAAUAAAGCAGCUGGUAAACCUUCAAGUAAAAAGAAAUUAGAAAAACAAAUCUAGGAUGGAGACAAGCAAAGAUGGCUGUUUCUCUCUACAGUCACGAUCUAAGAAUCUGAUAAAGUUAUGGGAUCCACUUCUCCGGGGGAAGAAAAAAAGGUACCUAAGUGCACACGCAGUUGUGGAUGCUCACAGAUCCCUCAGGCCAAUCUAUAAAGUCCAGAUUGAGAACUGCUUCUC